rnacentral:misc_RNA from 1 species
GAUGAAGAACGUAGUGAAAUGCGAUACUUGGUGUGAAUUGCAGAAUCCCGUGAACCAUCGAGUCUUUGAACGCAAGUUGCGCCCGAAGCCAUUAGGCCGAGGGCACGCCUGCCUGGGCGUCACACGUCGUUGCCCCCCCAUCUACUCCUUCGGGAUUGCGGGGGGCGGAUGAUGGCCUCCCGUGCGCCUCGUCGCGCGGUUGGCCUAAAUGCCAAGUCCUCGGCGACGCACGCCACGACAAUCGGUGGUUGCGAAACCUCGGUUGCCUGUCGUGUGCGGUCGUCGCGCAUCGAGGGCUCGAAAAAAUUGUCGGGCUCCGGCUCGGCUUUCAACGCGACCCCAGGUCAGGCGGGGUUACCCGCUGAAUUUAAGCAUAUCAAUAAGCGGAGGA